CGGGGCGCGCUGAGGCGGAGCCGGAACGGGGCUGAGGCGGGACUCCACAGGAAUGGCCGGAACUCACAAACAGCUCCGGGAGCCUCGUAGGGCGUAGCCGGGGCUCGCUGGAGCCUUUCCGGGGUGCGGGAGCUCAGCCGAGCCGCCGGAGGGACGGAGCGGGGCCGGGCGGAGGCACAGCCCCGCAGCCACAGCCCCACAGCCGGCCGGGCUCAGAGGUGGAUAACGAGAGGGGCGAGGGGCCAGGCAGAGCCGAGCGGUGUCCUGGCCCGAGAGAUGUAUGUGCUAAUUAGCAGGGCAGUUAAUAGAGCAGACAGGGAGCUGUGCUUGCUGCUCCCCGGAGAACUCGGGAGAAGGAGCCCCCAGGGCUGCGGUGUCAGGAUCAGAGGCAGGAGCAAAAAAGAAUCCACAGGAAGUCAAGUGAGGCGGAAUUCCUUCUUUCCAGCAACAAAUGUGUGUGUGAGACUUGUGGGUGUAAUUUGGGUAGCUGUGGAAUUCCUACAAGUUUUGUUAGAAUUCCUAAGCUUUGUUAGCAUGGCUGAGCAGGUCCCCUCUUGUUUGUGUUACCAGAUGCCAGUGGAGCUUCCCAAAAGGAAUCCCAGAUUGGUUGGGGUUGGAAGGGAUCCUAAAUCCCAUCCCAUCCCACCCUGCCAUGGCAGGGACACCUCCCACUGUCCCAGGCUGCUCCAGCCCCAGUGUCCAGCCUGGCCUUGGGCACUGCCAGGGAUCCAGGGGCAGCCACAGCUGCUCUGGCAAUUCCAGCCCAGCCUCUCUCCAACCUCCCAGCCAGGAAUUCCUAAAUCCCAAUAUUCCAUCGAAAUUUCCCCUCUGGCAGAAAUACUCUUUUUUUUUCCAUAAAUGGCAUUUCUUGAAUAAUUUUCAGCUUGUUUGCUGUUUGUUCUACAAAGGAAGAGAUCAGGUCUAUUAUUCAGAGAAGAAAGACUAAUCCAGGCUAAGCAGGAAAAGGUGUUGAGGGUAAAAGAGUUCAUUUGAUUUUUGUUGAGUGUGGGUGGUUCUGGGGCAGAGCAGGUGCACCUGGAGACAAUAAAUGCAGAUUUAGCUCAAGGCCCCUAAGUGACUUCUGAGCCUCAUCAGCUGCUUGUGCUGUGGGUUUAAAAGGACAAAAGUGGGUUUUACUGGGAUUUAUCCAUGGGGAUCUCAGCAGUUACCAGAAAGGACCUAAAACUGGGAGUCCUGCUGCUUCUCUUUGGGAAGGUGGCAGAUGCCAAUCAAAAUCUUAAUGGAAAAAGAAGAAUUAAUCAUGGGGCAAGGACGAUGAUUGCAUUGUAAAGGAUUUUCCAAGCCCCCCUUCCAGACUCUGCCUCUUUAGCUCCCAGUGGAGGUGCAACCCAUGCAGCUGAAGUUUCCUGCCCUGGGUGGAUCAGCUGUUUUGGCAGCAGCUGCAGAAAUUCAACCCCAAGAGUCUGUGGUGUGGGUUGUACAGCCCAGAGACCUCAGUGAGAUCUGUAGUGUGGGGUUAAACUGGGGAAAAACCCCACAACACCCCUUGCAUGCUCUUUGGCUGAGGGGUGUGUGCUUUUCUGUGUUUUUUUCAUAGAAAUAUUUAAGGGUUUUCCCUUUAUUUGGGAGGUUCCUUUAACAAGUCCUGCCAAUUAAUCAAUCAAUCCCAUAAAUUAUAUAUAUUAAGUAUAGAGGUAUAAGAAUAAAUGUUUAUUCAGCUUUUGGGAUUUUAAAAUCAAUUAAUUGUGUGUCUGGAAGCAAAACCCAAAUGCUUAUUUGGUUUGGAGUAGC